rnacentral:tRNA from 1 species
AUGGGUGUAGUUCAGUUGGUUAGAAUGCUGCGUUUGGGACGCAGUGGUCGCAGGUUCGAGUCCUGCUACCCAUA